rnacentral:rRNA from 1 species
AACGAACGCUGGCGGCAUGCCUAACACAUGCAAGUCGAACGAGACCUUCGGGUCUAGUGGCGCACGGGUGCGUAACGCGUGGGAACCUGCCCUUAGGUUCGGAAUAACUCCCCGAAAGGGGUGCUAAUACCGGAUCAUGUCUUCGGACCAAAGAUUUAUCGCCUUUGGAUGGGCCCGCGUUGGAUUAGCUAGUUGGUAGGGUAAAAGCCUACCAAGGCGACGAUCCAUAGCUGGUCUGAGAGGAUGAUCAGCCACACUGGUACUGAGACACGGCCCAGACUCCUACGGGAGGCAGGAGUGGGGAAUAUUGGAAAAUGGGCGAAAGGCUGAACCAGCAAUGACGCGUGAGUGAUGAAGGCCUGAGGGUUGUAAAGCUCUUUUACCCGGGAUGAUAAUGACAGUACCGGGAGAAUAAGCUCCGGCUAACUCCGUG